GAUGAACGCUAGCGAUAGGCUUAACACAUGCAAGUCGAGGGGUAACAUGAUUGAAGCUUGCUUCAAUUGAUGACGACCGGCGCACGGGUGCGUAACACGUAUGCAACCUACCUAUAAAUGAGGGAUAACCCGGAGAAAUUCGGACUAAUACCUCAUAGUAUUUAGAAGAGGCAUCUCUUUUAUCUUAAAGAAUUUCGUUUAUAGAUGGGCAUGCGCAUGAUUAGUUAGUUGGCGGGGUAACGGCCCACCAAGACAACGAUCAUUAGGGGUUCUGAGAGGAAGAUCCCCCACACUGGUACUGAGACACGGACCAGACUCCUACGGGAGGCAGCAGUGAGGAAUAUUGGUCAAUGGACGCAAGUCUGAACCAGCCAAAUCGCGUGAAGGAAGACUGCCCUAUGGGUUGUAAACUUCUUUUAUAUGGGAAUAAAGUGCGCUACGUGUAGCGUUUUGUAUGUACCAUAUGAAUAAGGACCGGCUAACUCCG
rnacentral:rRNA from 1 species